rnacentral:rRNA from 1 species
UACAGAGGUCUCAAGCGUUGUUCGGAUUCAUUGGGCGUAAAGGGUGCGUAGGCGGCGCGGUAAGUCGGGUGUGAAAUCUUGGAGCUUAACUCCGAAACUGCAUUCGAUACUGCCGUGCUUGAGGACUGGAGAGGAGACUGGAAUUUACGGUGUAGCGGUGAAAUGCGUAGAUAUCUGGAGGAACACCGGUGGCGAAGGCGGCAUUCUGGACCAAUACUGACGCUGAGGAGCGAAAGCCAGGGGAGCAAACGGG